rnacentral:tRNA from 1 species
CUAAAGUAGUUUAAAGAAAACGUUGAUUUGUGGAAUCAAAAAUUAUUUGUUUAUUUUAGUUU